AAAAACGAGAUUUUUCUACUUCUACAAAACAAAGCGCAGUAAAUAAUAAAGGAGGAGAGAAGUUACCUUGAGAGUUGUGUGAGUUGACGUGACGUCAAGUGUAGAGGUGGGAAGUUAUUUAAAGCCAUCAUCACCACGAUUUUCGAGAUUGCGGAAAUCUCUUCUCUGCGCCUGAUCUGGACCGUCAGAUGCGGUGCGCUGAACUGACGCUCCAUCUCGGCCGUCCACAUUAGCAGCGACUUAUCUCGCGUAUCUCCUUGAAAUCUUUUGGUUAAAGGAAUCUGAAAAUAAAACGAAAUUGUUGAGUUUAUCCUCAAAACCGACUGAUCUAACCAUAUUUAUCCUCUCGUCAAGAAUAUUUUCGCAAUCUUACCUGACCUAUAUGUCCGCUCAUCGAGUUCACCUACUCAUUCAAUGGGCUGGGGGGCAAAUGUUGGAGUUGGAUUCCCCUCCAGGAAUCCACCUGCGAAAAUACCAAGCCAGCCCACAAAAGCCCACCAAGCCCACUAAGUAGAGGACCUACGCAGCUGACGAGCCCACAUACGCGAAUGGGUAUUUGGGCCAGAUAAGCCCAGUCACCUGAUGAAGAGAGAUAAGCGAAUAAUGACCUAGGAACUGACGAGGAGAUAUUCGCGGAGCGGACCUGAUAUCUCGGAACUGACCUGCCGAAUAUCCAGGAGGAUCUCCGCAGAUCCCGGACGGAGCUACCACGUGCGUAGACUUAUAUAAGGGAGCUAGGACGACUAGGAAGACACAUUGAAUCUAGCUUACAUUCACACACACACACUUUUACACUUGUAAUAUCUUUUCUCAUUGUAAAAGCUUUGUCAAAAUCAAUACAAAAGUCCAUUCGUUCUUAGCAAUAUAACUCUCAAGGUUUCAGUGAAGAUCUAGCCGUCCUUUCUCAUAAUCUUAAAAUCAAAUCUCUAGUGUGGAUUUCAGAACUCACAGCAAGUCAACAAAAACUUUGUCAUUUAUUUAGAAAGUCAACAAAAACUUUACGAUUUAUUUUUAUUGUGUGAAGUUCAAGAUUAAAUCGUCCCAAAUUUGAAAGUUGGUAUUUUUUUUGAUAUUUCCCCCCGUAAAAUAUGGUCAAACGUAAAAUAAAUAUUCUCUCUUUUUUUUUCUUGCAAAACUAUUUCAGAUGGAUUUGGAGUUUCGAACAAAUAUUUUCCCAUUUUAUCUACAUAUACUUUUUUGGGGAAGAUUUGUGUCGAAAAAUCCUUUUUCAAUUUCGAUAUUGUAUGUUUAGUCCCUACAAAAUCAAUCAGAGAAGAUUGUCUUCUUUAGGACAAUGACCAAAUUUUUGAUCAACUAUUCACAUUUUGCACUAAUUACUUACCUAAACAAAAAUAUUAUUUUGCACUACCCUCAUAAAUUGCACACAUUAAUCCCUUAAAUCUCUACUAAUUCAAUAUUACACGACAUAAUAUUCCCUAAAAAUUCGAACAACCAAAUAACUAACCAUAUCUGAUUUAAUCCCAUACGACGAGAUUUGAGAUCCUAACAUAUGGAAAUCAAAUCUUCAAAAUUAAAUACUAUUAAUAUUUAUAAUCUCGAUCAUAUCUACUAAAUAUGAACUACUAACUGAAAAU
rnacentral:sRNA from 1 species